AGAGAUCAUGGCUCAGAAUCAACGCUGGCGGCGUGCCUAACACAUGCAAGUCGAACGCGGUUCGUAGCAAUACGGACUGAGUGGCGAACGGGUGAGUAACACGUGGGUGACCUACCUUCGAGUGGGGGAUAACGUCCCGAAAGGGACGCUAAUACCGCAUAACAUCCUUCCUUUGAACAGGGGGAGAUCAAAGCCGGGGAUCGCAAGACCUGGCGCUUGAUGAGGGGCCCGCGUCUGAUUAGCUAGUUGGUGAGGUAAUGGCUCACCAAGGCGACGAUCAGUAUCCGGCCUGAGAGGGCGGACGGACACACUGGGACUGAGACACGGCCCAGACUCCUACGGGAGGCAGCAGUGGGGAAUUGUUCACAAUGGGCGCAAGCCUGAUGACGCAACGCCGCGUGGAGGAUGAAGGUCUUCGGAUUGUAAACUCCUGUUGCUCGGGACGAAAUGCUCCAACCUAAUACUUUGGAGUUUGACGGUAUCGAGUGAGGAAGCCCCGGCUAACUCUGUGCCAGCAGCCGCGGUAAUACAGAGGG
rnacentral:rRNA from 1 species